AGUGAACGCUGGCGGUAGGCCUAACACAUGCAAGUCGAACGGCAGCACAGUAAGAGCUUGCUCUUACGGGUGGCGAGUGGCGGACGGGUGAGGAAUACAUCGGAAUCUACUUUUUCGUGGGGGAUAACGUAGGGAAACUUACGCUAAUACCGCAUACGACCUACGGGUGAAAGCAGGGGAUCUUCGGACCUUGCGCGAUUGAAUGAGCCGAUGUCGGAUUAGCUAGUUGGCGGGGUAAAGGCCCACCAAGGCGACGAUCCGUAGCUGGUCUGAGAGGAUGAUCAUCCACACUGGAACUGAGACACGGUCCAGACUCCUACGGGAGGCAGCAGUGGGGAAUAUUGGACAAUGGGCGGAAGCCUGAUCCAGCCAUACCGCGUGGGUGAAGAAGGCCUUCGGGUUGUAAAGCCCUUUUGUUGGGAAAGAAAAGCAGCAGGUUAAUACCCCGCUGUUCUGACGGUACCCAAAGAAUAAGCACCGGCUAACUUCGUG
rnacentral:rRNA from 1 species